AUUCAACUGACGAGUCCCAAAUAGGACGAAAUGUGCGUCAAACUGGAU
rfam:Schistosoma rodhaini strain Burundi genome assembly, scaffold: SROB_scaffold0009649